AUGACUCGAAUACGCCAGACGCGACUCGAGGUCCAGGCGAAAAAGCCACCCCCAGCUGCUUCACUCAACGUAAAGGAGAUAAAAGGAUCUUCGGAAGUUUUCCCAGACUAUUGCUUCGAGUUUGCUACCAUGGAUACACUAGAAGAAAGGGCAGAAAAAGAUACACAAUGCUCAGAAUUCCCAUCAAAAUUUGUAUGGAAAAGCGAAAGCAAAACUUGGGAGGAGCGGAAAAGGGGCUUUGCAAUUGGAAGAAUCUACUAUGCACACCCUGCAAGUGGCGACCGGUAUUAUAUGAGAAUGCUUCUAAACACCAAGAAAGGAUGCACAUCAUUUGAGGAUAUUAGAACAGUUAAUGGAGUUGUUCACCCAACAUACAAAUCAGCAUGCCAAGCGCUUGGAUUUCUUGAUGACGACAGUGAAUGGGUUGAAUGCAUCAAUGAAGCAUCAAGCUGGGGAUCAGGGACACAAUUACGACAACUAUUUACCACAAUUUUAUGCCAUUGUGAGGUGACCAGCCCAAAGAUGUUGUGGGAUUCAAGAUGGGAGGCACUGUCUGAAGAUAUCCAGUACAAAAGAAGAACCAUCCUAAACUUUCCUACGCUAAAGCUCACUGAUUCACAGAAAAAACAUAUGCUCUGA
rnacentral:rRNA from 1 species